GGGGGUUCUUGGGUGACGCACCCCAAAAUUAGGCUCCCUCCUCUUUGGUUCCGGAGUGCAUCACCUGAGAACCACC
rfam:Myotis davidii contig182793, whole genome shotgun sequence.